GGAGGAACCUCUGGAGAGAACCGUUAGAUCGGUCGCCGAAGGAGCAAGCUUUAUCAUCUUAUUCGAUGAUUUAGUGAAACUCUCAGGCAAAAGGACAGAGGAGUGGAA
rnacentral:ncRNA from 2 species